AUGAAGAUACCUCUUAAGAAUAAAAUUUUUGCAUGGUAUCUUCGUCGCGGAGUCAUUCUUACUAAAGAUAACCUUAUUAAGAGGAAUUAGCAUGGAAGUCCGCAAUGUGUCUUUUGUCACCGUGAUGAGACAAUAAAACAUUUAUUCUUCCAAUGCAAAUUGGCUCGUUCUAUAUGGUCAGUCAUCCAAAUAGCUUCUGGCUUGUAUCCUCCUUGUAGUGUUGCUAAUGUAUUUGGCAACUGGUUACACGGGAUUGAUCACAUGUUUAGAACUUUUCUCAGGGUGGGAGCGCUUGCCGUUAUUUGGUCGCUUUGGCUAUGUAAAAAUGAUAAGGUUUUUAACGAUAAAAGUACUUCCCUGAUGCAGGUUCUCUAUGUACUGGGACUCUUCAUCUAUGGUCAUUUCUAUAACGCGUAG
rnacentral:rRNA from 1 species